rnacentral:rRNA from 1 species
GAUGAACGCUAGCGGCAGGCUUAAUACAUGCAAGUCGUGGGGCAGCAGGUCUGUAGCAAUACAGAUGCUGGCGACCGGCAAACGGGUGCGGAACACGUACACAACCUUCCUUUAAGUGGGGAAUAGCCCAGAGAAAUUUGGAUUAAUACCCCGUAACAUAAUGAAGUGGCAUCACUUUAUUAUUAUAGCUCCGGCGCUUAAAGAUGGGUGUGCGGCUGAUUAGAUAGUUGGCGGGGUAACGGCCACCAAGUCGACGAUCAGUAACUGGUGUGAGAGCACGACCAGUCACACGGGCACUGAGACACGGGACCGACUCCUACGGGAGGCAGCAGUAAGGAAUAUUGGUCAAUGGACGCAAGUCUGAACCAGCCAUGCCGCGUGGAGGAUGAAGGUCCUCUGGAUUGUAAACUUCUUUUAUUUGGGAAGAAAUCUAUCUUUUCUUGGAUAGUUGACGGUACCAGAUGAAUAAGCACCGGCUAACUCCGUGCCAGCCGCCGCGGUAAAAC